ACACACAGAUUGCGCACCCAAUGACUCACAUGACAUUUGGUUCGUCUCUCCUUGUCACGCUGUUGCUGCUGUGGCAACAGAUUCGAGGGUGACGGAUGGAGGCGGUGGCGCCGAUGGUGGAGGGGAAGCUGCUGGCGCAGGGAGAAGGCGGCUUUGAAAUAUGGAGGAGGAAAAAAGACGUCCGGCCCCCGUCUGCCAUGAGACCAUCUGGUGUCUGGGAAAAACUGGUCCCAGGGCAGCCACCUGCCAUCAGCAAUUCAUACGGACACCAGACACAUCCACCCAGACGCCUGUUGAAACACACACCGGAAAUCCCAAACAGCCUGCGCAAAUAUUCCCUGCAAUUUGCAAGCUCUCGAGAUCUGUGUGUCCUCCACAGACAAACGUUUCGGUACGGCGAAUGUCGACAAAUAUUUCAAACCUCCCUUAACAGAUUGUUUGGCGAGCGUGCAAAUAUGUCGUUAGCCGAGCCGUCGCUUUUUCAGGGAGUCGAUUCAAAAGUUGCCGUGGAAGAAGCGUCGAGUUUGUCGUGCAGAUUUGCCGCCAUGCUCGGACGGCAAGCAAUGACAUGAUGCCAUAAUCUGAAUAUUCUUUUGGGUGUCCUGUAAGAGGUCAGGGAUUCCGUUUUAGGCAAGUCGCACAAGCUCAGAUUGAAUUUCUUCAAAUCAAACAAAUGUGGCCUUUACACGAUUACUGGAUUCUUGCAAUAUUCUUUCCUCAAACCCAA